ACAACAAUCAUUAAAAUAUCCUGUCAUGCUCAUUUAUUUAAUCAAAAUAAAAUUCUUUGCAUAAAUCGCAGCGGAACAAUUUCAACAUCAACGUAAAACAUGUAACACAAUACAUGUAAAUCAUUCAACAAUCAGUAUCAAAUUAGUUAAAACAUCCCCUCCCGAUGUUACAUCUAUCAGAGCAUGACCCAUAAGAAACUACUCUAGACUCCAAGCAUUAGCUUCUAC
rnacentral:lncRNA from 1 species